rnacentral:rRNA from 1 species
GACGAACGCUGGCGGCGUGCUUAACACAUGCAAGUCGAACGGUAAGGCACUUCGGGGUUCACGAGUGGCGAACGGGUGAGUAACACGUGGGUGAUCUGCCCUGAACUUCGGGAUAAGCCUGGGAAACUGGGUCUAAUACCGGAGAGGCACAUGAGCAUACCGGUGUGGGGUGGAAAGCUUUUGCGGUGUGGGAUGGGCCCGCGGCCUAUCAGCUUGUUGGUGGGGUAAUGGCCUACCAAGGCGACGAGUGGUAGCCGGCCUGAGAGGGUGACCGGCCACACUGGGACUGAGAUACGGCCCAGACUCCUACGGGAGGCAGCAGUGGGGAAUAUUGCACAAUGGGCGCAAGCCUGAUGCAGCGACGCCGCGUGAGGGAUGACGGCCUUCGGGUUGUAAACCUCUUUCAGUAGGGACGAAGCGCAAGUGACGGUACCUACAGAAGAAGGACCGGCCAACUACGUGCCAGCAGCCGCGGUAA